UGGCUCAUCUGGGAUAGUGUAUUCGAUCACAAAGUUGGCUAACAUCUAUGCCUUGAUGGAAGGUCGGAGCUAGUAUUGUAUGUCAAAUUCUAAGAGCUCAAUCACCCACUUUGCAAUUUGUCCAAAUGUGUCUAGCCGAUGAGGGAUGCUCUUUAUCGAUUGAUCGAUCAAGAAGAUGAUAGUGUGAGCUAGAAAGUAGGGUCGAAGCUUCCUAGCUGUGAUGAGGAGUGCAUAGGCCAACUUUUCCAACCUUAAAUACCUAGCCUCCGCAUCCCUCAAUAUUCGGCU
rnacentral:lncRNA from 1 species